UGGUAAAAGCUUAGUAGUUCUUAGUUGUGCUGUCAAAAAACAGUGAUGCCCUGACACGACGUCAGGGCAAGCCACCAGCGACACGACGUCGCAUUGGUGGCGUUCACGUCCGACUUUACAUAUCCUAACCACAGCACAUCUUAGAACUACUUAGC
rnacentral:ncRNA from 1 species